GAUGAACGCUGGCGGCGUGCUUAACACAUGCAAGUCGAACGAAGCACCUCUCCCGAAGAUUGGCACAGCUUGCUGUAGAUUGAUUCAUUUGAGAUGACUGAGUGCCGGACGGUUGAGUAACGCUUGGUUAACCUGCCUCCUACUGGGGGGCAACACUUUGAAACCACUGCUAAUACGGCAUAUUAAGAAGAAUUCGCAUGUUUUGUUCUUGAAAGAUUUAUGGCUAUGAGAUGGACCCGCGCCUGCUUAGCUAGUUGGUCAGGUAACGGCUUACCAAGGCGACGAUCAGUGGCCGGCUUGAGAAAGCGAGCGGCUACAUUGGGACUGAGACACGGCCCCAUCUGCUACGGGAGGCAGGAGUAGGUAAUAUUGCAAAAUGGGGGAAACCGUGAUGCAGCGACGAGGCGUGAGUGAAGAAGUAUUUAGGUAUGUAAAGCUCUAUCAGCAGGGAAGAUAAUGACGGUACCUGACGAAGAAGCCCCGGCUAACUACGUG
rnacentral:rRNA from 1 species